rnacentral:lncRNA from 1 species
AUCUCUUGGGAACACCUGUUUCUAGCAAAGUGCCCUUUAGUGGAUUAUAGGAGAUUCCCAUAUCUCACAUCAUAGUUGAAACUCUUCACUUGAAGAAGUCUGAGAUUAAGGCUCAUUGGGUGAAGAAAUGAGGAUUGUUUGGAUUGACUUCUGAGUUCCUCAUCAAGAAAGCUACUGCCUUUGCUCAAGCCGGUAGUGUGGAU